GUUACUUGGCGGCCCGUAAGCGUCGGUCAGGUCCUGCGGCUUCGAGUUAAGGCGCCGAGUGUCAGCCACUGCCGUGUCCGACAUGUUUCCGAAGGAGAGACCGGGACCGGGGAGAAGAGACCUGACCAAGUUUAAAAGCCAGGGGAGGGAUUUCAUUGGAAGUGGGAAGUUGAAUAUACAGAGAAGUGAGGUAAACUUCCAUGGAAGACAACAACGCUGGCCAGGCUUCUCAACUUUCAAGCCAGAAUGUAAACCCUGUCACCCAACCACCUGUUCAUCAGGCUUCCAAAACAUAUGGAUCCUGCCUCAGUCGACAACAGAGCAUACCAACACUUCUGGCCUUCACCAGAGAAGUGUAGUCAGCCUCUGAGGUUCUGUCAAAAGCCUGGCUGUGGGAAGAGAUAUUUAUGGAAUAUAUUGUAAGGGACAUUCUAUCCAUCCACUCCUUUAGGUGGCAUUUUAAAUUGUGCCCUCAGAUCAAGUUAAAGCACCAGAAGGUUACAUGCCUGAACCGUAUUAGCUCAGCCCCUGCAGAAAUGCUUUAAUGUUACACCCUUGGCUUUUAGCCAGGGUAGUUACCAGCAAGUAGUAUGAAAAUCUCUUCUCUGUGUGUUAUGAAACUGUUAUUGAGGACAUUGUCCUUUAUGUUAAUCCCAUAUGAGAAAUUUCUUAUGGAAUUUAGUGCCAGCAAUGAACCAUUAUGUAGCUGUUGAAAAUUGUAAUUCUGGAAGACUAAAUAUGAAAGCAUGUUUACGAUAUGUUCAUUGAAAAAAAAAACCAACACAAAAUGGUAGAUAGACUCUAAUUGCAGCCAUGUAAAAUUAUUUGUGUCUGUGGAUGAGGACCGAAAGCUGAUAGGCAAAGAUGAAAAUUGUACAAGGGCAAUGGGAUUGCAAAUGUUUUGUUUGUUCAAGAACUUUUGCUUGCUGUCAGCCUGUCUUUUCAAUUGGGAGAAGAAAAGAAUUUAGUGACAGGGGAAUCUCUGUCUCUCUUGGGGAAUUGCUAUGUGUCUUCCUUUCUGAUAACAAGAAUUGUCAUGUCCCCCCUUUCCCCUGGCUUCCCAAAAAGGUGGACUUAAUGAUUGGUCAUGACACAUUAGCUCCUCCUACCUUUCCAUGCCUCUGAUGUUCUAUUUGUACAAUCUUAUAAUAUUUGUACUUUUUUGGGGGUAAAGUGCCCAAAUCCCUUAUAGAAAGAGGCAAGCCAUAAAGCAUUUCCCCCUCUUUCUUUUUCUUUCUUUCAUUUUUUUUCCCACUUUAAAAACUAUACACAUAGUAAAGUGGAAAUAUAUAAGAAAGUAACAAGAAGUAAAAUACCCACUGGCAACACUUUUUGGUAUUUCUUCCUAUUUUUUCCUCAAUGUAUUUUACACAAAAUUAUGAGCAUGUAGCAUAUAAAGUAUCACAUCCUGCUCUUUUCAUGUAACAUUAA